rnacentral:rRNA from 1 species
UACAGAGGGGGCAAGCGUUGUUCGGAAUUACUGGGCGUAAAGGGCGCGUAGGCGGCCCGCUAAGUCGAACGUGAAAUCCCCAGGCUCAACCUGGGAACUGCGUCCGAUACUGGCAGGCUUGAAUCCGGGAGAGGGAUGUGGAAUUCCAGGUGUAGCGGUGAAAUGCGUAGAUAUCUGGAGGAACACCGGUGGCGAAGGCGGCAUCCUGGACCGGUAUUGACGCUGAGGCGCGAAAGCUAGGGGGGCAAACGGG